AAAAUACUCCCUCCGUCCGGAAAUACUCGUCGGAGGAAUGGAUGUAUCUAGAUGUAUUUUAGUUCUAGAUACAUUCAUUUUUAUGCAUUUUUCAACAAGUAUUUCCGGACGGAGGGAGUAAUAU
rfam:Triticum aestivum genome assembly, contig: Triticum_aestivum_CS42_TGACv1_scaffold_408142_5BL